UACGAAGGGGCUAGCGUUGCUCGGAAUCACUGGCGUAAAGGGCGCGUAGGCGGAUCUUUAAGUCGGGGGUGAAAGCCCAGGGCUCAACCCUGGAAUUGCCUUCGACACUGGAGAUCUUGAGACCGGAAGAGGUAAGUGGAACUGCGAGUGUAGAGGUGAAAUUCGUAGAUAAUUCGCAAGAACACCAGUGGCGAAGGCGG
rnacentral:rRNA from 1 species